rnacentral:tRNA from 2 species
GGCUACCUGGCGCAAUGGUAGCGCGUUUGGCUUCGAUUGCCGAAUCUACCAAAAGGUUGCAGGUUCGAGUCCUGCGGUGGUCA